AAAUAUGGCACCUCGACUUGUUCCUUGGGCAUCUUCAGGGGAAUGGCUGGAAGUUUAUCACUUACUUCACCGGGACCACAGUGAAAAAAAAGAUCAAUUAGCCCUUCAGAUCAUGGAAUUGUGGAGUUCCAGGGGGCACCUGCCCGCUGCAAUAGAUGCUACGAGAGCUAUAUUGUCGGUACUUCUCAGUGAUAAAGAUCAGAAAGGAGAAUCCAAUAGCUUAAAACUCUCCUUUGCCCUUGCCAUUGUAAGAUUUGUUAACUUUUUUGUCGAUGAAAACCAAAAAGGCAAGGUUGCACAAUCUGUUUUAUCGGUGGCUUCAUCCUUGGGUAUCCCUAUACUUUGUGUAGAAGUAAGACAUGAAGCAACUCACAAUAUCUUACCUUCUAUUGUGGUGCUUCGUUUAGCCGCCAGAUUGGCUUUGACUUGGUUAAAAGAUUCUUACUGGAGGAGGCAAUUUCAGAUAUACCACUAUAAUGGAAAGCACUUAUUAGAU